GAUGAACGCUGGCGGCGUGCCUAAUACAUGCAAGUCGAGCGAACAGAUGAGGAGCUUGCUCCUCUGACGUUAGCGGCGGACGGGUGAGUAACACGUGGAUAACCUACCUAUAAGACUGGGAUAACUUCGGGAAACCGGAGCUAAUACCGGAUAAUAUAUUGAACCGCAUGGAUCAAUAGUGAAAGACGGUUUUGCUGUUACUUAUAGAUGGAUCCGCGCCGCAUUAGCUAGUUGGUAAGGUAACGGCUUACCAAGGCAACGAUGCGUAGCCGACCUGAGAGGAUGAUCGGCCACACUGGAACUGAGACACGGUCCAGACUCCUACGGGAGGCAGCAGUAGGGAAUCUUGCGCAUUGGGCGAAAGCCUGACGGAGCAACGCCGCGUGAGUGAUGAAGGUCUUCGGAUCGUAAAGCUCUGUUAUUAGGGAAGAACAAAUGUGUAAGUAACUAUGCACGUCUUGACGGUACCUAAUCAGAAAGCCACGGCUAACUACGUG
rnacentral:rRNA from 1 species